rnacentral:tRNA from 1 species
AAAUGAUGGUUCAACUCCCUCCUUUACUA